GAGAAAUUCGUGUCACUGUCCUCUCUGGCUUUGGCGGCUUCAACUUCUGUUUUCCAGGAGAGGAGAUGGUGGAGGUGUGGGAGACAAUAGUCUCAGAAGAUUGUGAAUGGCUCCAUUUAGAGCUGGUGGAAUUUGGUUCAUCAUGAGUACCACCUCCUGAGCGUGAAGAAGCUGGACUUGCAGGUGCUAAGCUGCUCUUGCUAACUUGCAGUUCUAAGUUGGAUUGAACUACAAAAAGAACAGAUUUGGUCAGGGUUGUGCUGAAUCCAGAGCUUAUCCCAGGAACAUUGGGCAGGGGUAGGAACACACCCACCUACUGGCAUGUUUUUGGAAGUUGGGAGGAAACCAGAGAACCUGGAGGAAACCCACAGAGACAAGGGGAGAACAUGCAACACUUCACAAAACAUGGACCCUGGAGUUGUCAGACCUUUAUUUCUGGAUCUCUGCUCAGGAACGCUGCUGGCCUAAACCUACACUGACCUUGCUCACUGGAAAAAUGCUGCACGACUUAGGCCUAGACCUGAACGCUCGCUAUCAACUAGCACAUCUUACUGCUGAUCCGUCUCUCCUGAGUGACAUCCCACAAGAUGAGUCCAGUGUUCCUGGUCUCCCUCAUUCUCAAUAAAUUUUCAUUCUCCACAUUUGGUGCCCUUGUGUUUUAUUUCUAUCAUAAAUUUUAUCCAACGUUCUCUCCUCUGAGGCUUUCCAAGCAUCACAUCACUAAUUUAGUGGAUAUCUGUGAAUAAACUGAUUCUGGCGUACUCACUGGCCAUCUUCGGUUAAUUGCCUGAUAGAAACUUUUACAUACCCAUAGUGUCGGCAGUCGUACUCACCAAUUGUCGGGCUGCUAGUCGCGACUACUUCUAUAAUGCUGCUGUUGGGGUGAUCCUUAAGGAGUGUUCGGAGGGAGGGCCGGUGAGAGAGACUCCAAAGCCAUUCUUCUAGGCGCCUCGAAGUAAAUGAGUAACUGAAGUAUGGGGCGUAAGGCUCCGUUUUUCCAGGCCGGAGCUACAUAGAAAUACCUGCUCAUGUGGUUAUGUGGGUUAAUGCGGCUAAUAUUAUAGUGGUGUUAGCUGCUGGUUUUGAUCACACUGGUUAAAUGCUGAUUGCUUAUAUUUUACCUUCUACCUGUUAACUAUGUAUACUUAAAAUUUUGCCUGUUUUUCCCUAGAGGUGCCUUCUUUUUAUGAGGAAAAGAGUAUAGUAUGACUUUGUUCUUUUUUUCCC